ACACACACACACACACACACACACACACACACACACACACACACACACACACACAGUUAUCAGUUAGUCAACAGGUGUAUCUGAUUACAUGAUGUUUACUUUGUCUGUCAGUAACAGGAACUACACGUGUGUUUGUGUGUGUGUUUGCAUGUCUUUGGGUUUGUGUUUUUCAGUACUUUUGUCUGUUUACAUCAUUCCUUAAUUAGAUAAAAAAUACAGAUUGGAAAGAAGCUUUGAGGCUAUGCAUAAAGAAUAAAGCUGGGAUGGCUCUGGGUGGGAGGGGCUAAUUCUAUUGGGUGGGUGUGGCCUAAGUGGUGUGUAUGUAAACCACAUGUAUUUAUAGUAUACACAUAUUAAGAGCUGAUGUCGAAUAUAUCACUAUUCACUAGGUAGUUUAAGCCCAAAUAUCAACAGUGACUACAGAGAAUAGGGGUGUGUGUGUGUGUGUGUGUGUGUGUGUGUGUGUGUGUGUGUGUGUGUGUGUGUGUGUGUGUGUGUGUGUGUGUGUGUGCGCGCGCGUGAGAUUAAUGACUAAAAGCCUACUGGUGUUUUUCUGUUAGUGUUCAGUUACUGUCACUCAUCUGCUGCACAUAUUCAUUAUUACUAAUUAUUUUUAUUUGCUUGUUUUUAGUGUUGAUGUAAUGUUUAUUGUUAGUAUGUCAUAGAACACACACACACACACAGUAACAUAUCAUUUCUUCUGAACAGACACUGAGCUUCAAGCUGUAGAAGAUAAUAUACAUGAGAUAAUGUACACACCAGAGACUAGGUCAUUUGCACACCCUAUAUAUCCACUAAGCAAUGUUGUGUGUGUGUGUGUCAAGACUGAUUGAAAUACAGGAAAGAAUUUAUUUCUUGCUCUUAGCUUGUUAAUUACACUAAGUAAUCAUGUAAAUAAUAAAGUAUUAAUGUUAUAAUUUAUCACAAACUAUCAGACUUUAUUAGGAUCACUGGUUAUAAUUUUCUUGCGUGUUUUAGCCCAGAAACUCUGGCCGUCUAGGCAGUGACAGUUAGCACACAGAAGGGUUAGCAUGUAGCAUUUAUUAGCAUAAGUUUUAUUUAGUGAUACUACAUUUACAGUAUUUAGCAUUUGCCCUUAUUGGACUUAUUCAACACUGUUAGCAUAGCAAUAUUAGCAGGCAUCUGUUUUUGUGUCACAAAUUCAAUUUCUUGUCUACUUUUUUCUCCAUUUGAUCUUUAUAUCCUGUGUACUGUAUGCUAUUUUAUUAUCUGUCAUCAGCAAUUUAUUUAUUUAUUUAUUUAUUUAUCUGAACUGAGACAUUGUAUAAAUUGUUGUUAUAAUGAAAUAUGAAAUGUAUUAAAUAAAUUUGUGUUUAAAAAUGA